AUGUCAACUAUACUUAUCACAAAGCAUCCACGGCUGAAAGGGAAAUGAAGGAAUACACCCUCUUCUAAGAGUUUGAGGUGAAUAUUACGCCAAAUGCGAGCACAUUUUCCUUCGACAUUGGAGAACAACCAAAAGAAAAUAUACGCUGUGAAUCUAACUGCUUGCAUUUGACCUGCAAAUAUAAGUGGAUUCAGUAUAUAAAUGGUGCCAUUAAUCAGGAACAUGCCAUAGAAGGAAAAAAUUUCCUUGUGAAUAAAGCUAAAAAGGGGAAGAAUAUUUACAGAUGUUAUGUUGAAGUACCACUGUAUCGCAUGGAUUUUUAUGGAUAUAGCAAUCCAAUUACAGUUAUUAUCCAAGAAAGAGGAUCAUCCACUUCAGCUACACACAGUGUCUCAGUGAUUCAGUCAAGUACCAACACGGUGUACUCUCACUCUAUUACUGCUGCAAAAAAAGUCGAAAAUAAUGGAAAAUUUUUAAUAAUCGGUAUUUGUGGAGGGGGAGUUCUGCUUCUGAUUGCCUUUUUAAUCCUAGUGAUAGUACUUUGUGUGAGGUCAAAACAAAAGCUGAAUAAAACACGUAAGUAAUUGAUAAACGAUACUUCUCAGGAAAAAGAUCUAGGGGUAGAUAUGACUGAUAAUAAUCUCUAUAUCUCUGCCGACAUCGAAACUGAAAUGCCGCAAUCAAACCCUAAACAAAAUACAAAAGAAAACGGAAAUGACGUCUAUGCUGUCGUCAACAAGACAAAGAAAAAUGAGAAUGACAUCCCCGUGUACGCUGAAAUCCGUAAAUCUCAGUCAGGAAAGGAAAAAACAGAAAUGAACAAGAAACAGUCAGUGAAGGAAAAAAAUCAAUCCGGACAAAAUGUAAACAACAGUGGAAUGGUUUAUUUAGAAAUUGAUUUUGACAACAUGUCGUCAAACAGAAAAACCUCCAUACUGGGAGCAGAAGAAAGUACGCAGUAUGCCGACAUAAACGCAAUAGAACAUGCCGACCCACUGUUAAAGAGUGUCGAAUGAAGAAAAAUAAAAUCCUGAAUUCCUUCAAAAUGGAAAGGAAUCAAAAGCGGAAUAAAUAUGUUUAGAAUAUAUGCAAGGCUUUGGAAAUUCAUGUUUUCAUAACGCUUACAAUAACUUGGCUUUUAUAUGAUUCAUUUCAAUGUACAGUAGUACAUUUAUUAAAGUGUAUUUUCUAUGAAACUUCACAAUUGACGACAGCCUCAUACGUGUAAUAGCGCAUUUCUGGAACACGGUUUCUAUGUAUCAAACGGGAAAAUAUCACAUUUUAAUAGUAUUUGUAAAUAUUUUUUAUGUACUUACUGCUUCUUCAAAUUCAUUUUCUAAGAACCAAACUUCUUUAAAUACAUGUAACUCUCUAAAUGUAAAAAGAAUGACAAAUUCUUUCCGCUUUAUGCACAAAUUUAUUUGAAAGAACUAAGGUAGUAAAUUAAAUCUUCACAGUAAGGUCCUUUUGCUACUGCUGCAUCUCUGAUCAUUUAAUGGAAAUAUAGGACAGUCACCCUUCAUGCAGAAAAACGGAAAUUGUUAGGAGUCCCAACACACUGGCAGUCAAGUGAAACUUUAAAGAAAUAAUAUACUAAUUACUAUAUAAAUAUUUUAUUUUUAUAUCCACCUUCAUAUUAUAUAUUAUCAUUAUACAUAUUAUGGUGUCCCAUUGUUUCUUUUGAAGUACAUAUACUUAUUAUGUUGUCUCCUUGCUUCCUUUAAAGUACACAUACCUAUUAUGUUGUCUCAUUGUUUCUUUAGAAGUACAUGUACUUAUCAUGCUAUCUCCGUGUUUCUUCAGAAGUACAUAUACCUUUUAUGUUGUCUCCUUCCUUCCUUAGAAGUACCUCAAAGCCGCACAGUUAGAAAACUUAAAAGAAUACUUAAAAGAAAAUUUUCCAUCCCUUGACCGAAUACACUAAAUUUGACGGGGUUCACUUUGGCUUGGCGAAGGAACAGUUGCUACCUAUUUUUUUAUCGACUUAGGUCAGUCUCGGCCGUGAUUCGAACACACGACUGGGUCAUUUUAUGGUAAUUAUGUUUUCCUUGAGACUAAAACUGACGUGUUUUUCUGUUUUCGAUUUAGUUUCAGGUUAGAUACAACAAUGUUUUUGAUUGGUGCAUACAAACUUGUAUGAGGCCAAUUAGAGGGCGCAUUUCUAACCCCGUUAAUCUUAGUCUAUUUGGUCAAGCGUUUAUGUGCAGCGGAGUUGAUCAGAAACCCUUGACUUGGGAAGAUGCACAAAUUUAUAUUUAAAUACAAUACUAUGAAAAUGCAUCUAGAUCGGUAGACUGACAAUUGCAGUAAAGACAGACUAAUACCUUUUGGAGGAUUGUUGGAAACACAUUUUGAUAAAACGAUAGAUAAUUAUUUCUAAUAAAAAUCCUUUAAAUUUAAUUACAUUUGUAUUCAUUUGAAGGUUAAGGAACCAUAUUUUCUUUGAUCUUCAAAUUUUAUCGCAGUUUAAUACUAUCCGUGGAUGAUUUUUCUUCUUUGCAUGAACUAUCAGACUAGUAAUAUAUAAAUAGUUGACCACUCUUAGAUUUAUUUUCUUUAAUGAAGCUACAAAGCAGGCGACACAUACGUUCCUUGGAACACUCUAGUUUAUCUAUCGUAUGCACUGUGUAUAGUAGACUGUAUACUCCUGCAUACUUUUUGUGUGUAUACUUUUCACACGUAAGUGUAGAUAAUUAAUAAAUAGUAAAAAUUAAAGGCAUUAUUCAAAAAUACACUUCUGGAGAAUUCUUCUGGGUCAGAAAAAUAAAAAUGCUUUCUUAUGAAGGGUGUAAAUUCUGUUCAAAUCAUGGUCACGGGGGAAGGAUGGACACACUGAAAGGUAUCCAAGUUAAAUGAAGGAAAAUAUAGAAAAUUUUCUCCAGAACAGGAGGGCAAUAAUAAGUCAUUUAAGGGGUUAGGGUGCGGCAUAAUUGAGAACCUACUUAUUAUGCAGCAAUUUAUAUCAAUUUUAUUAUAAAACUUCUGAUGAACAACAGCAUGGCCAUAAUGAGUCAUAUCAAUAUACAUGUAUUAGCAUCUUCAUGUAAUGUAGAAUCAGGUUUAUUAAUUCAUUGUCCCAGAGGCUAGAAUUGGGCCACAAUAAGGUUCAACAUUUUUAUAGGAAUACAUACAUGUAUGUAAUAGGGGAAUUCGUUUCAAAUCUUCUCAACAAUAACAGGUCCACAAUAGGCCAAAUUAAUAUGCACGCAUCUUUAUGUAAUCUAGAAUCAGGGUUGUUCAAACCAUAGUCCCUAGAACUAGGAUGGGCCACAAUAGGGGUCAACAUUUAACAUCGAAAUAUAGAAGAAAUUUUUAAAAGUCUUUAAGAACAACAGGGCUACAAUUAAACAUAUGCAAUCAUCUUUAUUUCUUGUACAUUCAAGUUUUUUAAAUGGCUCCCAAGAGCUUAGGGGAACGAAUUAAUCUCACAUUUUUUAUGUAGUGACAUAAACAGUGUACAUGUAUUUAAAAAUCGCUCGUAUUCUAUACGUAUUUUUCAAAACAAAAGGUAUCUAAAUUUGAUGAAAAAGUUUCAUAAUUAAUGAAAUAAAGAAUUUUUAAAAUGUAUUAAUAUUUACAUUCAUGUGACUUAUCCAUAAAAUAUAUAAGAAAUUAUAAUACUUAGCCCAAGCUUAGGUUUUCAAUCACUUAAUACCACGGAGAUCUUUACAUCAAAUUUAGAGACCUUUUUUUGGUACAUGUACUUAUACGAUUUUAAUACAAUUCAUUUGGUUUGCAAAAGAUAUAUGUGCAUUUACUGUUUUCCUUAUAUGCCAUAAAAAAAGGUUUCUAAUGCAUCUUAGAACUCAAGUGUCUAUAUUAAAGUACUAAACAUCAA